ACGGGAGGCAGCAGUGGGGAAUAUUGCACAAUGGGGGAAACCCUGAUGCAGCAACGCCGCGUGAAGGAAGACGGUUUUCGGAUUGUAAACUUCUUUUCUUAGUGAAGAAGAAAGUGACGGUAGCUAAGGAAUAAGCAUCGGCUAACUACGUGCCAGCAGCCGCGGUAAUACGUAGGAUGCAAGCGUUAUCCGGAUUUACUGGGUGUAAAGGGAGCGCAGGCGGGACUUCAAGUUGGAUGUGAAAUACCGGGGCUCAACCCCGGAGCUGCAUCCAAAACUGUAGUUCUUGAGUGGAGUAGAGGCAAGCGGAAUUCCGAGUGUAGCGGUGAAAUGCGUAGAUAUUCGGAGGAACACCAGUGGCGAAGGCGGCUUGCUGGGCUCUAACUGACGCUGAGGCUCGAAAGUGUGGGGAGCAAACAGGAUUAGAUACCCUGGUA
rnacentral:rRNA from 1 species